rnacentral:lncRNA from 1 species
UGUGUGUGUGUGUGUGUGUGUGUCCCACCAGACUGUGAGCUCCACGCGGGCAGGGACCAUGUCUUGUCCAUUCUCUGUAUCCCCAGAGUGUGAAACAGAGCAAAUGCUCACUGUGUGCUUAAUAAAUGGACAAAGAGAGGCUGAACCUCAGGGGCAGACAGAGACAUAAACUGAUGGUUUAUGACACAGUGUCUCAAGCCCUGUGCAAGGGAUGUUCAAUCAAGGUUUAAUUAAAAAUGGCUGAUGCUGCAGAAGAGGCCGUGUCUCCUAGGGAUGACAUGAGAAUAGCCCCCUUUCUGCCCACCAAUGAGGACCUCCUCCCCACAUACACGCAGACCGGUUGGCCCAGCCUUACCCGCCCUCUCUCCCCAGGGAAGGACCCCACGCCCUCCAUGCUGGGCCUCUGCGGCUCCCUGGCCUCCAUCCCCAGCUGCAAGUCCCUGGCGAGCUUCAAAUCCAACGAAUGCCUGGUGAGCGACAGCCCUGAGGGCAGCCCAGCACUCAGCCCCAGCUGAGGAGCAGCAAGGGCAAUGCCAGCCCCACCUGCCAGGGGCCAUGGACAACUGCCACCUUUUGAGUCCCCCACCCCAGGCCACCCUUCAAGAACAAUACCCAGCUAGCCUCAGGUCCCAGCUAGCCUCGGGUCUCUAGGGAAAGACAACCUGAGCCUCUUUCCUGCUUCAGCUUCCUGCCAAAGAGGCAGGAGCUACAUGGGGAAGUGGUGGGGCAAGGAGGGACGCCCAGGUUACAGGUCGUCAGUCCCCUGGGGAAGCCACUCCAUUCCGUGGUCCUGAAGGCUGCCUGGUUCCUUCUGUUCAUCUUCCACACUUGCCUCAGAAGCAGGUGGUCCAGCCCUGGCAUUCCUGCUGCCCUGCCUCUGGUCUAACCCUGUGUACCCUCUGAAGUCACCCUUCCUCGGUACCUAUGUGGGGAGAGAUUAGGCAAAUAAAAACCAGAGGACUG